GUCCCGAGCUCAGGCCACGUCCCCACCUCCUCGAAGCCUCCAAGCUGCUGUUAAUGUCAGUUCUUUUCACCAGGCAAACGGAAGGGUGAGCUGUGCCUGGGAGAAACCCAUCUGUGCUUUUCCCUUCAUUCACCGGAGAUGAGGCUGAGUGUUCAAGUAAACAGGAAGCUUACCUGUGGUGGUCAAAUUACAAACACUCAACAUGGCACCCAUGAAUAAUUAGAAAAUACAAGCGCCGAAGUGACGGGGGCGGGAGCUAGGAGGGCGAGGGGAAACAGAACAAUCUUGGAAAAAUCUCGGUUGUUGCAAAAAAAGAAUAAAAUGUAUGCUUAAAAAUUAUUUUUACAGAGAAAUUACAGCCAUAAAAAAUAUCUGUGCAUUGGAAAGGCACUCAUAUUAUAGAAAAAUGUUAACAUAUAAACGGAAAUUGUAAAGGUUAGAUUAUUUACCAAAGAGUCUCUACAAUCUCUCCAAGCAU
rnacentral:lncRNA from 1 species